rnacentral:rRNA from 1 species
AUUGAACGCUGGCGGCAGGCCUAACACAUGCAAGUCGAACGGUAACAGGAAGAAGCUUGCUUCUUUGCUGACGAGUGGCGGACGGGUGAGUAAUGUCUGGGAAACUGCCUGAUGGAGGGGGAUAACUACUGGAAACGGUAGCUAAUACCGCAUAACGUCGCAAGACCAAAGAGGGGGACCUUCGGGCCUCUUGCCAUCGGAUGUGCCCAGAUGGGAUUAGCUAGUAGGUGGGGUAACGGCUCACCUAGGCGACGAUCCCUAGCUGGUCUGAGAGGAUGACCAGCCACACUGGAACUGAGACACGGUCCAGACUCCUACGGGAGGCAGCAGUGGGGAAUAUUGCACAAUGGGCGCAGGCCUGAUGCAGCCAUGCCGCGUGUAUGAAGAAGGCCUUCGGGUUGUAAAGUACUUUCAGCGGGGAGGAAGGGGGUAAAGUUAAUACCUUUGCUCAUUGACGUUACCCGCAGAAGAAGCACCGGCUAACUCCGUG